UACAGAGGUGGCAAGCGUUGUUCGGAAUUACUGGGCGUAAAGGGCGCGUAGGCGGCCUUCUAAGUCAGACGUGAAAUCCCCCGGCUUAACCUGGGAACUGCGUCUGAUACUGGAUGGCUUGAAUUCGGGAGAGGGAUGCAGAAUUCCAGGUGUAGCGGUGAAAUGACGUAGAUAUCUGGAGGAAUACCGGUGGCGAAGGCGGCAUCCUGGACCGAUAUUGACACUGAUGAGCGAAAGCUAGGGGAGCAAACGGGAGUUAGAAAACC
rnacentral:rRNA from 1 species